rnacentral:lncRNA from 10 species
AGAAGGAGUUGAGUGAUGGUAGAUAUCAGGCCCUGGUCUGCGGCUUGGAAGUUUCCUGUGAAUAAGAAAAACAUCAUCGCUUCUUGAGUCACAAGGAUGAUAGGAUGAGAAAAAGAAAGGACAAAGGCACCAGAGGAGGUAAGAACAUAUGAGAGGCAGGCUGAGACCAAUUUUCUACCAGGCCAGCUAAUUCAUCACAAUGACAAGCUAUGGGUCAUAUGCUUUCAGGAACCAGACACUGGAACAUGUCGUCUGAUGUACAUCACACCAAGAAAUAAAAAAAGAAUUGGAAAGCCAAUGUCCAAUUAUUUACUAAAACAGAAUCCACUGGAGAGAAAUGCAAAGGCAGGUAAAAAGGCAAUCUCUUAACAUGAAAACUCACAACUGUAAAAUGAGAACCUAAACUAUACAGCGACAAACUCAGGAAAAAGUCUCCAGCUACUGCUGUCUCUCAGACUCUCACAGUAUGUGUAACCACUUCCUCCUCUGCACGGAAUCACCCCAGAAGAUCAACUCUACUAGAUCAUUUGAGGACAAUGAACAAAGUCUCAAGACUGAAUUCCCACAGAAAACAUUCUCAUGAAACCACCCAAUAUUCUGGUGAAGUUAAAGAAGGGCAUGUGUUCGGAGACAACCAGAAGCAGCAAUGCUCAAAACCACAAAACUCUGGAUUGCCGACUCUGCACAUCCUGGUUCCUCUAGAUACAGUUCAGUGGCACAUUCACAAAUAAACGUUUUCAAAAACUGCCCUCAGGCAGUUCUAGAGAAAUGCUUUGACUUGCCUAAUGGUAUAAUGUCAAGAAAGGAAGACGAGCACUGAUCAUUCAUACUCAUUAUUACAGUCACAGGGCACUGUCUGACUUGACAGAUACAGCCGAGCAGUUAAAAGGUUAUGGGAAUUUAAGUCCAUUAUGGUCAUACGAUUCUUAUGGACCCAGAGAUAUGAAAUUAAUCAGCCACAUGUGUAGGGACAAAGUUUGUCAUAAAUAGAUAUAAGUUAUCUGCAUGCUAAGAACUUAGUUACUUAACUCUGUUUCCUCAUGUUAAUAUAAACAUAAUUAUAGAAUGCAAAUGAAAUACUUAGCCUGGAGCCUAUUAUAUAGGAAGCACUCAAUAAUUUCAAACUAUUGAGUAUAUUAUUAGAUAGGCUCCAUAAUUAUUUAUUCCUUUUUCAACAGACAGUAUGAUCUAUUGAAAAUAAAGCCAAACUAGAUUUCUUUGACCCACUCCUUUUUCUGUUUGUAUUGUUGGCAAGUUGUUCUAAAUCAACUUGCCAACAUACUAUUAACAUGUUAUUAACAUAGAAGGGAUGCUUAUUUUGUUUGCUUUGUAAGAAAUGCUUCUGAUUCAGUAACUGGGCAAUUUAUUUAAAUAUAAGUAAAAAGCAGAUUUUAUUAAAAACUACUUUGUGCUAUCAUAAAUAA